ensembl:lncRNA
UUUCCAUCAGGGUGGCCUAGCAUCUACAAACACCUCUGGACCCUGGAAGGGGUGAAGUCAGUGAUGGAGCAUCACCUCAUUUCCAUUCUGUGUUCAGACCAAGAGGAUCUCCAGGAGCCUCAGGGUCCCUGGGAGGUUCUUUUCCUCCAUGUGAGUCACUUUUUAUAAAGUGCAAGAUCCAGGACCCACCCGGUGAGACCACGGCUCAGGAUCUAAGAUCAAGUGAUGAAGCCAAAGAACAGGGGCUUCCUGAUGAAUGGACAGCAUAUGAGGCUAGAACCCAGGGAUGAGGACCAGGGCCCAGCAAUGAGGACCAGGGCCCAGCGAUGAGGACCAGGGCUUAGUGAUCAGGGCCAGGGCUCAUGAUCAGGGCCAGGACUCAGUGAUCAGGCCCAGGACUCAGUGAUCAGGCCCAGGACCCAGUGAUCAGGCCCAGGACUCAGUGAUCAGGACCAGGACCCAGUGAUCAGGACCAGGGCUCAGUGAUCAGGACCAGGGCCCAGUGAUCAGGACCAGGGCCCAGUGAUCAGGACCAGGACCCAGUGAUCAGGACCAGGGCUCAAUGAUCAGGACCAGGACCCAAUGAUCAGGACCAGGGCUCAGUGAUCAGGACCAGGAUUCAGUGAUUUGAACCAGGACUCAGAAUCAGAACCAAGACUCAGUGAUCAGGACCAGGGCUCAGUGAUCAGGACCAGGAGUCAGUGAUCAGGACCAGGACUCAGUGAUCAGGACCAGGGCUCAGUGAUCAGGACCAGGACCCAGUGAUCAGGACCAGGGCUCAGUGAUCAGGACCAGGACCCAGUGAUCAGGACCAGGGCUCAGUGAUCAGGACCAGGGCCCAAUGAUCAGGACCAGGGCUCAGUGAUCAGGACCAGGACCCAAUGAUCAGGACCAGGGCUCAGUGAUCAGGACCAGGGCUCAGUGAUCAGGACCAGGACCCAGUGAUCAGGACCAGGGCUCAGUGAUCAGGACCAGGACCCAAUGAUCAGGACCAGGGCUCAGUGAUCAGGAUCAGGAUUCAGUGAUUUGAACCAGGACUCAGAAUCAGAACCAAGACUCAGUGAUCAGGACCAGGGCUCAGUGAUCAGGACCAGGGCCCAGUGAUCAGGACCAGGGCUCAGUGAUCAGGACCAGGGCCCAGUGAUCAGGACCAGGAGUCAGUGAUCAGGACCAGGGCCCAGUGAUCAGGACCAGGGCUCAGUGAUCAGGACCACGACUCAGUGUUCAGGACCAGGGCCCAGUGAUCAGGACCAGGGCCCAGUGAUCAGGACCAGGACUCAGUGAUCAGGACCAGGGCUCAGUGAUCAGGACCAGGACCCAAUGAUCAGGACCAGGGCUCAGUGAUCAGGAUCAGGAUUCAGUGAUUUGAACCAGGACUCAGAAUCAGAACCAAGACUCAGUGAUCAGGACCAGGAGUCAGUGAUCAGGACCAGGGCUCAGUGAUCAGGACCAGGACCCAGUGAUCAGGACCAGGGCUCAGUGAUCAGGACCAGGGCCCAAUGAUCAGGACCAGGGCUCAGUGAUCAGGACCAGGACCCAAUGAUCAGGACCAGGGCUCAGUGAUCAGGACCAGGAUUCAGUGAUUUGAACCAGGACUCAGAAUCAGAACCAAGACUCAGUGAUCAGGACCAGGGCUCAGUGAUCAGGACCAGGGCCCAGUGAUCAGGACCAGGGCCCAGUAAUCAGGACCA